AUUGGAUGGCCUUAGAUCCUGACACACACACGCCCCCUCCCCAAUCAGGUAUCACCAUCACCCUUGGGCUGGAAUUAUCUUGCAUCUGCCAGGCAGUGAGCUCCACAGAGCUUAGAAGGCAGACUACAUGAAGAUAGAAGGGAUGAUUCCCCAAAGAGGUCUCUACAUAUUUGCACACAAAUCUACAACUUGGAAGUCUGCCAAAAGCAGGUUAUGACCCCAGCUUGUGUUCAGUUCUUGGAUUCCUCCUUAUCCUUUGGAUUCCUCUGAAGUGAAACUGACCGGGAAAUCAUCCAGGGAGACUGACAGUACCCCAAAGCCAGACUCUUCAAAAGGAGCAUCACAGGACAUAAAACAGCAGUGUGAAGUCCAAUUCAGAGGUUUCAUUCCGGCCAGGAAACAAAAGCAAGAUCCCGGGGGGGGCCGUGUGGCCAGACCUUCGCCUCCCAAAUUGCACAAUGGAAACCUUGGGUGGAGAUGA
rnacentral:lncRNA from 1 species